rnacentral:rRNA from 1 species
GGCCUCUUGUUUAUAUAUGAGGUCUGACCUGCCCGGUGAAAAUUAUUUUAACGGCCGCAGUAUUUUGACUGUGCAAAGGUAGCAUAAUCAUUAGUCUUUUAAUAGGGGGCUGGUAUGAAGGGUUUGACGAGGUGUUGACUGUCUCAUUUAAUUUGUAUUUAGAAUUUAACUUUUCAGUCAAAAGGCUGAAAUUAUGUUGGAAGACGAGAAGACCCUAUAGAGCUUUAUAAUUGAUGCAUUAAUUAUUUUUUGUUAUAUCAUUUAUUAUUAUUGUUUUAAUUAUUUUGUUGGGGUGACAAAAAUAUAUAAUUAACUUUUUUAUUUAAAUUAACAUUGAUUUAUGAGUAUUAGAUCCAUUAUUAUUGAUUGUUAGAUUAAGUUACC